GAUGAACGCUGGCGGCGUGCCUAAUACAUGCAAGUCGAGCGAAUGGAUUAAGAGCUUGCUCUUAUGAAGUUAGCGGCGGACGGGUGAGUAACACGUGGGUAACCUGCCCAUAAGACUGGGAUAACUCCGGGAAACCGGGGCUAAUACCGGAUAACAUUUUGAACCGCAUGGAUCGAAUGUGAAAGGCGGCUUCGGCUGUCACUUAUGGAUGGACCCGCGUCGCAUUAGCUAGUUGGUGAGGUAACGGCUCACCAAGGCAACGAUGCGUAGCCGACCUGAGAGGGUGAUCGGCCACACUGGGACUGAGACACGGCCCAGACUCCUACGGGAGGCAGCAGUAGGGAAUCUUCCGCAAUGGACGAAAGUCUGACGGAGCAACGCCGCGUGAGUGAUGAAGGCUUUCGGGUCGUAAAACUCUGUUGUUAGGGAAGAACAAGUGCUAGUUGAAUAAGCUGGGACCUUGACGGUACCUAACCAGAAAGCCACGGGUAACUACGUGCCAGCCGCCGCAGUAA
rnacentral:rRNA from 1 species